CCGCAAUGGACGAAAGUCUGACGGAGCAACGCCGCGUGAGUGACGAAGGCUUCGGGUCGUAAAGCUCUGUUGUUAGGGAAGAACAAGUACCGUUCGAAUAGGGCGUACCUUGACGGUACCUAACCAGAAAGCCACGGCUAACUACGUGCCAGCAGCCGCGGUAAUACGUAGGUGGCAAGCGUUGUCCGGAAUUAUUGGGCGUAAAGCGCGCCCAGGCGGUYUUUUAAGUCUGAUGUGAAAGCCCACGGCUCAACCGUGGAGGGUCAUUGGAAACUGGAGGACUUGAGUGCAGAAGAGGAGAGUGGAAUUCCACGUGUAGCGGUGAAAUGCGUAGAUAUGUGGAGGAACACCAGUGGCGAAGGCGGCUCUCUGGUCUGUAACUGACGCUGAGGCGCGAAAGCGUGGGGUUCAAACAGGAUUAGAUACCCUGGUAGUCCACGCCGUAAACGAUGUGUGCUAGGUGUUGGGKUUCCACCCUCAGUGCUGAAGUAACACA
rnacentral:rRNA from 1 species